rnacentral:rRNA from 1 species
CAGCAGCCGCGGUAAUACGGAGGGCGCGAGCGUUGUCCGGAUUCACUGGGCGUAAAGCGGGUGUAGGCGGUCGGGUAAGUCGGACGUGAAAGCCCGGGGCUCAACCCCGGAAGGGCGUCCGAAACUGCUCGACUUGAGGGCGGGAGAGGGAGGUGGAAUUCCCGGUGUAGCGGUGAAAUGCGUAGAGAUGUGGAGGAACACCAGUGGCGAAGGCGGCUCUCUGGUCUGUAACUGACGCUGAGGCGCGAAAGCGUGGGGAGCAAACAGGAUUAGAUACCCUGGUAGUCCACGCCGUAAACGAUGAGUGCUAAGUGUUAGAGGGGUUAAACCCUUUAGUGCUGUAGCUAACGCGUUAAGCACUCCGCCUGGGGAGUACGGCCGCAAGGCUGAAACUUAAAGGAAUUGGCGGG